rnacentral:rRNA from 1 species
GAGUUUGAUCCUGGUUCAGGACGAACGCUGGCGGCGUGCUUAACACAUGCAAGUCGAGCGAAGUGUUUAGUGAGAUCUAUUCGUAGUGAUCACUAAACAUCUUAGCGGCGGACGGGUGAGUAACGCGUGAGAAACCUGCCUUUCACAAGGGGAUAGCCUCGGGAAACUGGGAUUAAUACCCUAUGAUACUCUAUCUUCACCUGAAGAAAGAGUUAAAGCGUAAAGCGGUGAAAGAUGGUCUCGCGUCCCAUUAGUUAGUUGGUGAGGUAAUGGCUUACCAAGACGAUGAUGGGUAACCGGCCUGAGAGGGUGAACGGUCACACUGGAACUGAGACACGGUCCAGACUCCUACGGGAGGCAGCAGUGGGGAAUAUUGCACAAUGGAGGAAACUCUGAUGCAGCGACGCCGCGUGAAUGAUGAAGGCCUUCGGGUCGUAAAAUUCUGUCCUAGGGGACGAUAAUGACGGUACCCUAGGAGGAAGCCCCGGCUAACUACGUGCCAGCAGCCGCGGUAA